UCCUCUCUGCACCAAAUUUCUCUCUCUGCAGUUCUUCUAUUCGCCAGAUCUAGAUCUGCACCAAAUUCCUCGCAUUUUCAAAAUUUAAUAUUCCAAAUGAAAAAGAGGAGAGGGAGAUAGAGAGAGAACGAGAAAUAAAGAGAGAGAGAGAGAGACAGAGAGAGGCGAUGGAGAAGGAGAGAUGACGGCAUGAGAAACCCUAAAUUACAAAAUCGUUCAGAUCUUGAAGGAUUUCCGAUACGAAAGCUUUGUUAGGGGGCUACAAUCGAAUGGACAAAAGGUUGAGAGGCAUCGAUUUUGUCAUAAUCGAGAGAAGGAUGAACGGGCAACGACGAACUGGGUUUCGAUAAGAGUUUUAAGGGUCUUGGUGCAAAUGGAGGAAAAAUGAACAAUAUGGAAAUGACCAGCCAGUUGGGCAGAAUGGGACGCCAGUGAUCGAAGUAAAAUUGUCGCUACUUUCGGCCGCAUGAAGUUUGGCCUGCUAAGAUACCCAUUAAUAUUAUUAUUAAUUAUUAUUAAUAUUGGAAAUAAAAAAAAAAAAAUCAAUAUCACAACACUUAUUGGACGUGAAGAGUUUUGGAUGAAUUUCUAUUGGGCCAUUAUUUAGUAUUGUCCAACAUCAGUUGGAUUGGCUAUUUUUUUUAUUUGGACCAUACGACAACAAGCACAGAAGGCUAUUGGACCAAAGUAGGAAUUGAUAUAUUAUUUUUUGUUAAGUGGCUGACCUACGGGAUAUAUACGGCUGGACGGCAGCAAAGUUUGAGAGGGGAGACGCACGAAUAGAGUCAAACAACAUCAGACGCACAAGGUUUUGCAUCGGACGAAAAGACAAAGAAAAAAAAGGCGAUCAAGAGAGAAGAAGGUGAUUGGUUCGAGGGUUCAAGCCGCGAUCAAGAUUCACGUCCGGAUAUCUUGCUCGUAUGGAGACAAACUAUGGAAAAGUAUCAUCUACAGGCUCUGCUUCAUUUUAGCGAACCAAGAAAUAGAUUGAAGAGUUACAAAGAAAGCGUAACCCUGCAUAUGGUUACUGUUUCGGUGGCCAACUUUGUGUGAGUGUUCUGUAGGCUACAACAACAGAUGUUGGGAUCGAAUGUGAGCCCUGUGAUGGAGGAGGACUGUUGCUUUGUGAUUUCUGUAAAGCUCAAAAGACAAAUGUAAAAUCUGAAACAAAUCGCUUCUAUUGUAGAUGCCCAUCUUGCAAAGCGGUUGGGUAUGUGUUGUAUCCUAAGUGCAAGGUGUUCAAAUGUGUUACUUUUCCUGACCAAAGUGAUGUUGAAAGCUCAAGAUGAUUAAAAAGGACUUCGACAUUAGCUUGUGUGUGCCAUCUUCGAGGUCUUGUAUGUUCUCAACACACUCAUGCAGACAUUUCAAAAUAAAGUGCUUGCUCAUGCUGUCACAAGUUAGAUAAAAUGGUUUAACGACGUAUUACGGACCUAUCGUAACAUUUAUAUUUUCAUGGUCAUAUCAAUGGUCAAGAUCCAACUCUUGUUUCUCUUGUUAAGUUGACAAGCCUUUUGAUUAUUUAUGAUUUUACUGCCUUGUAGUUUACAUUUGUUUCAUGUAUUAAUCAAUUUGGCACUUUGUUUCAUGUAUUAAUCAAUGGUGACGUAUGUGACAUUAUGUAUGA